GACAGAGGCCUCGAGCGUUAGGCGGAAUCACUGGGCUUAAAGCGCGUGUAGGCGGGUCGUUAAGUGUCUUGUGAAAUCCCACGGCUCAACCGUGGAACGGCUGGGCAUACUGGCGACCUUGGGCUGGUCAGGGGCUGCUGGAACAAGCGGUGGAGCGGUGAAAUGCGUAGAUAUCGCUUGGAACGCCAAAGGUGAAGACAGGCAGCUGGGACCACGCCGACGCUGAGACGCGAAAGCCAGGGGUGCAAACGGG
rnacentral:rRNA from 1 species